GACAGAGGGUGCAAACGUUGUUCGGAAUUACUGGGCGUAAAGCGCGUGUAGGCGGCUGCGCAAGUCGGAUGUGAAAUCCCGUGGCUCAACCACGGAAGUGCACCCGAAACUGCGUAGCUUGAGUCUCGGAGAGGAAGGUGGAAUGCUUGGUGUAGAGGUGAAAUUCGUAGAUAUCAAGCGGAACACCGGUGGCGAAGGCGACUUGCUGGACACAUAUUGACGCUGAGGUGCGAAAGCGUGGGGAGCAAACAGG
rnacentral:rRNA from 1 species